AGUGAACGCUGGCGGCGUGCCUAAUACAUGCAAGUCGAGCGGAGCGGCGAACGGGUGAGUAACGCGUGAGUAACUGCCCCCCUCUCAGGGAUAACAGUUGGAAACGGCUGCAAAUACCGGAUAGUGGGGGAUGACUCGCGUCCUAUCAGCUUGUUGGUGGGGGGGUGGCCUACCAAGGCGACGACGGGUGGCCGGCCUGAGAGGGCGACCGGCCACAUUGGGCUGAGAUACGGCCCAAACUCCUACGGGAGGCAGUGGGGGAGAAUAUUGCACAAGUGGGGAAACCCUGAUGCAGCAGCGCCGCGUGCGGGAUGACGGCUUUCGGGUUGUAAACCGCUUUCAGCGAUGACGCGGUAGUGGCAGAAGAAGCACCGGCUAACUACGUGCCAGCAGCCGCGGUAAUAC
rnacentral:rRNA from 1 species